UGGGGAAUAUUGGACAAUGGGCGAAAGCCUGAUCCAGCCAUGCCGCGUGUGUGAAGAAGGUCUUCGGAUUGUAAAGCACUUUAAGUUGGGAGGAAGGGCAGUAAGCGAAUACCUUGCUGUUUUGACGUUACCGACAGAAUAAGCACCGGCUAACUCUGUGCCAGCAGCCGCGGUAAUACAGAGGGUGCAAGCGUUAAUCGGAAUUACUGGGCGUAAAGCGCGCGUAGGUGGUUCGUUAAGUUGAAUGUGAAAGCCCCGGGCUCAACCUGGGGACUGCAUCCAAAACUGGCGGGCUAGAGUAGGGCAGAGGGUGGUGGAAUUUCCUGUGUAGCGGUGAAAUGCGUAGAUAUAGGAAGGAACACCAGUGGCGAAGGCGACCACCUGGGCUCAUACUGACACUGAGGUGCGAAAGCGUGGGGAGCAAACAGG
rnacentral:rRNA from 1 species